rnacentral:rRNA from 1 species
GACGAACGCUGGCGGCGUGCUUAACACAUGCAAGUCGAACGGAAAGGCCCUGCUUUUGUGGGGUGCUCGAGCGGCGAGCGGGUGAGUAACACGUGAGUAACCUGCCCUUGACUUUGGGAUAACUUCAGGAAACUGGGGCUAAUACCGGAUAGGAGCUCCUGCUGCAUGGUGGGGGUUGGAAAGUUUCGGCGGUUGGGGAUGGACUCGCGGCUUAUCAGCUUGUUGGUGGGGUAGUGGCUUACCAAGGCUUUGACGGGUAGCCGGCCUGAGAGGGUGACCGGCCACAUUGGGACUGAGAUACGGCCCAGACUCCUACGGGAGGCAGCAGUGGGGAAUAUUGCACAAUGGGCGGAAGCCUGAUGCAGCAACGCCGCGUGCGGGAUGACGGCCUUCGGGUUGUAAACCGCUUUCGCCUGUGACGAAGCGUGAGUGACGGUAAUGGGUAAAGAAGCACCGGCUAACUACGUG